GUGUCGGUGUAGCGCAAUGGAUAGCGCGUUGGACUUCUAAUGUAAAGGGCGUGGGUUCGAAUCCCACCUGGGACG
rnacentral:tRNA from 1 species